rnacentral:rRNA from 1 species
UUUAGGAAGGGGAUAACAUUUAGAAAUAUUUGCUAAUACCCUAUAUGCUUCACAGUGAAAGAAUUUAUUCGCCUAAAGAGGAGCUUGCGUCUGAUUAGCUAGUUGGUAGGGUAAAGGCCUACCAAGGCGACGAUCAGUAGUUGGUCUGAGAGGACGGCCAGCCACAUUGGAACUGAGACACGGUCCAGACUCUUACGGGAGGCAGCAGUGAGGAAUUUUCUGCAAUGGGCGAAAGCCUGACAGAGCAAUACCGCGUGAGGGAUGACUGCCUACGGGUUGUAAACCUCUUUUCUCAAGGAGGAAGAUCUGACGUUACUUGAGGAAUAAGCAUCGGCUAACCCUGUGCCAGCAGCCGCGGUAAUACAGGGGAUGCAAGUGUUAUCCGGAAUUAUUGGGCGUAAAGCGUCUGCAGGUUGAUCUAUAAGUCUUUUGUCAAAUCUUUGGGCUUAACCCA